AUUGAACGCUGGCGGCAGGCCUAACACAUGCAAGUCGAGCGGAGCGGCGGACGGGUGAGUAAUGCCUAGGAAUCAGCCUGGUUGUGGGGGAUAACGUCCGGAAACGGGCGCUAAUACUGCAUCCUAUCAGAUGAGCCUAGGUCGGAUUAGCUGGUUGGUGGGGUAACGGCCUACCAAGGCGACGAUCCGUAACUUGUCUGCGAGGAUGAUCAGUCACACUGGAACUGAGAGACGGUCCAGACUCCUACGGGAGGCAGCAGUGAGGAAUGUUGGACAAUGGGCGAAAGCCUGAUGCAGCCAUGCCGCGGGUGUGAAGAGGGUCUUCGGAUUGUAGAGCACUUUAAGUUGGGAGGCGGUACCGAAAGAAUAAGCACCGGCUAACUUCGUGCCAGCAGCCGCGGUAAGUC
rnacentral:rRNA from 1 species